CGGACGGCUCAGUAACACGUGGCUAACCUACCCUCGGGUGGGGGAUAACCUCGGGAAACUGAGGAUAAUACCCCAUAGGAGAAGAGGUCUGGAAUGAUCCUUCUCUGAAAACAUAUGUGCCCGAGGAUGGGGCUGCGUCUGAUUAGGUAGUUGGUGGGGUAACGGCCCACCAAGCCUACGAUCAGUACGGGCCUUGAGAGAGGCAGCCCGGAGAUGGGGACUGAGACACGGCCCCAGGCCCUACGGGGCGCAGCAGGCGCGAAACCUCCGCAAUGCACGAAAGUGCGACGGGGGGACCCCAAGUGCUUACGCACUGCGUAGGCUUUUCUAAAGUGUAAAAAGCUUUAGGAAUAAGGGCUGGGCAAGUCCGGUGCCAGCAGCCGCGGUAACACCGGCGGCCCGAGUGGUGACCACUUUUAUUGGGCCUAAAGCGUCCGUAGCCGGUCCAGUAAGUCCCUGUUUAAAUCCUACGGCUUAACCGUAGGGCUGGCAGGGAUACUGCUGGACUUGGGACCGGGAGAGGGCGAGGGUACUUCAGGGGUAGCGGUGAAAUGUGUUGAUCCCUGGAGGACCACCUAUGGCGAAGGCACUCGCCUGGAA
rnacentral:rRNA from 1 species